rnacentral:pre_miRNA from 1 species
CCCAAUAAGUUGCCUUUAUCUGCAUUUGCACCUGCGCUUUGUUUGGUUUCUCUGGAACAUAGCAAGAACCUGUGAAAACAAAGAAAAAGUGAGCAGGCACAAGGUGCAGGUGCAUCUGCAGCUGAAUGCCAUAUUGGA